CCCGCUCAGAAACUUAAAGGAAUUGACGGGGCCCGCACAAGCGGAGGAACAUGUGGUUUAAUUCGAUGAUACGCGAGGAACCUUACCUGGGCUAGAACGCAUUCGGAAUCAGGCCGAAAGGCCUGCGCCAGCGAUGGCCGCUUGCGAGGUGCUGCAUGGUUGUCGUCAGCUCGUGCCGUGAGGUGUCGGGUUAAGUCCCAUAACGAGCGCAACCCCUACUGCUAGUUGCCAGCGGGUCAUGCCGGGGACUCUAGCGGAACUGCCAGCGUAAGCUGCGAGGAAGGUGGGGAUGACGUCAAAUCAGCACGGCCCUUACGUCCAGGGCUACACACGUGUUACAAUGGCCGGUACAGAGGGCAGCCACCCCGCGAGGGGGCGCGAAUCCCGAAAGCCGGUCCCAGUUCGGAUCGGAGUCUGCAACCCGACUCCGUGAAGCUGGAUUCGCUAGUAAUCGCGCAUCAGCCACGGCGCGGUGAAUACGUUCCCGGGCCUU
rnacentral:rRNA from 1 species